UACGUAGGGGGCAAGCGUUGUCCGGAUUUAUUGGGCGUAAAGAGCGUGUAGGCGGCUAGACAGGUCCGCUGUGAAAACUCGAGGCUCAACCUCGAGACGUCGGUGGAAACCGUCUGGCUAGAGUCCGGAAGAGGAGAGUGGAAUUCCCGGUGUAGCGGUGAAAUGCGCAGAUAUCAGGAGGAACACCUGUGGCGAAAGCGGCGCACUGGACCACAACUGACGCUGAGGCGCGAAAGCUAGGGGAGCAAACAGG
rnacentral:rRNA from 1 species